rnacentral:lncRNA from 1 species
CCAACGGGUCAGCAAGUGAAUGGAUGGAAGCAACAGCUGCAGCAUAUGUGAAGGUGGAACCACGAAGGAACGACUUUAAAUCUAACGGAAAGCUUGCAAGGAGUUUCAAGAAAAUUCCACUCUUGUGCAAGAAGAGGAAAACUGGGAAAGUGAAAUCCAAGAUGUCAUCAUCCCUGACUGGAAGAAAAUGCAUUUUGGAGAUUCACCAUAUGUUCCAGACGAUCUGCUCCAUUUUUCCAUGCGAGGUUUGACGCUGAACCCCCAGGAUUUGAUCUUUCAGAAAGUCGGUUAUCGGCCAGCAAAGCACCACCCUGACCCCAUUCAUUGGCAUUAUUACAGCAGGUCUAGUGAGCCAGGACAGUUUGCUGAUGCACAGGAAGAGUAAGCACAUUUUUGAUUAUUGUGUAAAGUGGUUAGUUGACCUUUAACAAUCAUCAAAAGUCACAGAUCAAAGCAAAAGGGUUUUUGUAGUUUGGAGUUUUUUAGUUUGUUUUCCAAUCGUGUUUUUCCAAUCUGCUUUAGUCGACAGCUACACCUCAGCAGGCAUUUCUCCUGUCUGUCCUGUGUAUCGAGUUUCCUGGAAUUAUGAACAGCUCAGUUUUAAAAAAGUUCUUUAGCAUUUUGCUGUUUUAUGUUUUAUGACAAAUUUUAUUGCCUAGAAAUUUUUACCAGUUUAAGGCAACCAAAAAAAACCCAAACACCUUAAUAUAUUGUUUACAAAGCUGAUUUCACUCGUUAGCCAGUCGUUUGUGCCCUUUUUGUUUGCACAUCAACAAUAAAAGCACUUUUUACCAACC